GACGAACGCUGGCGGCGUGCCUAACACAUGCAAGUCGAGCGGAGUCGAUCGACGGAAGCCUUCGGGCGGAAGAUGGUUGACUUAGCGGCGGAUGGGUGAGUAACGCGUGGGCAACCUGCCUCGAAGACCGGGAUAACAGCCCGAAAGGGCUGCUAAUACCGGAUGUGGUCAAGGAUCCGCAUGGAUUUUUGAUUAAAGGGGAAACCCGUUUCGAGAUGGGCCCGCGUCCUAUCAGCUAGUUGGUGAGGUAAAAGCUCACCAAGGCGACGACGGGUAGCCGGCCUGAGAGGGUGACCGGCCACACUGGAACUGAGACACGGUCCAGACUCCUACGGGAGGCAGCAGUUGGGAAUCUUAGGCAAUGGACGAAAGUCUGACCUAGCGACGCCGCGUGAGGGAAGAAGGCCUUCGGGUUGUAAACCGUCUGUCAUGGGGAAGAAGGAAGUGACGGUACCCCGAACGAGGAAGACCCCUGCUAACUACGUGCCAGCAGCCGCGGUAACUAGUCACGUCG
rnacentral:rRNA from 1 species